AACAUGCUAGCCGACUUGCUGUCCAAAAUCAGCCAAAGUAAUACUUAUAGUGUUAAGAUUGGGAGCUUUGUGCAUCCAGAUGUGGUUCAUAUUCUCACUAUGGACCUCUUACCUUUGUUCUAGUUUUUUGUUUUUGCUUCUUUCUUUCCAAUGUAUUGAAAAAGAGAUUGCUACCGUUCAUAUCAAUAUUAAAGAUUUACAGGCGGAGA
rnacentral:lncRNA from 1 species